GUCGAGCGGUAACAUUUCUAGCUUGCUAGAAGAUGACGAGCGGCGGACGGGUGAGUAAUGCUUGGGAAUAUGCCUUAUGGUGGGGGACAACAGUUGGAAACGACUGCUAAUACCGCAUAAUGUCUACGGACCAAAGGGGGGGAUCUUCGGACCUCUCGCCAUUUGAUUAGCCCAAGUGAGAUUAGCUAGUUGGUGAGGUAAUGGCUCACCAAGGCGACGAUCUCUAGCUGGUUUGAGAGGAUGAUCAGCCACACUGGGACUGAGACACGGCCCAGACUCCUACGGGAGGCAGCAGUGGGGAAUAUUGCACAAUGGGCGCAAGCCUGAUGCAGCCAUGCCGCGUGUGUGAAGAAGGCCUUCGGGUUGUAAAGCACUUUCAGUAAGGAGGAAAGGGAUGUAGUUAAUAACUGCAUUCUGUGACGUUACUUACAGAAGAAGCACCGGCUAACUUCGUGCCAGCAGCCGCGGUAAUACGAGGGGUGCAAGCGUUAAUCGGAAUUACUGGGCGUAAAGCGUUCGUAGGCGGUUGAUUAAGCAAGAUGUGGAAGCCCAGGGCUCAACCUUGGAACUGCAUUUUGAACUGGUCAACUAGAGUACUGUAGAGGGUGGUGGAAUUUCCAGUG
rnacentral:rRNA from 1 species